rnacentral:rRNA from 1 species
UACGUAGGGGGCAAGCGUUGUCCGGAAUCAUUGGGCGUAAAGCGCGUGUAGGCGGCUUGGUAAGUCUGCUCUGAAAGCCCGGGGCUCAACCCCGGGAGGCGGGUGGAUACUGUCAAGCUCGAGUCCGGAAGAGGAGUGUGGAAUUCCUGGUGUAGCGGUGAAAUGCGCAGAUAUCAGGAGGAACACCGGUGGUGUAGACGGCUUUCUGGACCGUAACUGACGCUGAAACACGAAAGCGUGGGUAGCAAACAGG